rnacentral:lncRNA from 1 species
AGAGGGGUGAGCUACUAGAGCCCAGUGAGCAGAAUAAUAAAACAUAGUAUUUAAAACAUAUGAUAUCAUGAAAUGCAUCACAGCACAAACAUUUCACAUCAAGGAUGAACUUGUCACCACUAAGCCCUCUAUACAGUCUAAUUAUGCCAUGGGCGUAGUGCAGGCUCGCCUGGACUUCCAUAGCAUACCAUACAUAUCCAGUCAUGCUGGGGGCGUAGUGCAGGCUCACCCGGACUUCCGUAGUCUGUCAUGUCAUACCAUAUAAGGGCUAAUGGAUCAUUCAACAUUCAUCCACAUCAACAGCAUAGUGUGCAAUGCAACAUAUUCGUGAAUUCUAAUGCAAGCACCCU